UUUUAGGUCUCUAGAUUUUUAAAGGUCUUCACUGAACAGUUUUGCCAGGAGAACAUGCCAAAGGGCUGAUGACUCUGAAUUUGAGUCGGUUCUCAAAAGUGAUUCAAUAACCUGGAUUCCAACGGCCUGAAUACAAAACCCAGGACACAGGAAAUGCACAGGAGUUGAGAAUACGGAGGAGGAGGUGGGAGCGUGUGGUGCCUCUUGGCUCCAGGGUGGGUUUCGGUGGAAUCACCCCAGCAGCCAGGGAUGCUCUUGUUGCUCUCAUCAUCCCCGCGGUCCUCCCCUGGUCCAGACCUUUCAUUUCCCACCCUCGCCCAGAUGAGCCGGGCUGGAGGCUUUCUCUAGCCAGACUGUGCACCUUUGGAGGAAGGAGGUCCAGUCCUAUCUGUUGUAUGUUCUCCAAACCUGGAAUCACAACAGCACUGGUGAUGAUGGUGAUGGUGAUGGUGAUGGUGAUGGUGACGAUGGACGUGAACACUCAUAGAGCGCUAACCACGUGCCAGCCAUUGUUCUAAGCAGUUCAUAUGUUUUCACUUGUUAAUCUUUACAACAAUCCUAUGAGGCAGCUUCUGUUAUUUCACUCAUUUCACAAAUGAUAAAACCAAGACCUAUGAUGGUUAAAUAGUGCUCGAAAGACUGAGUAACAAGAACACACAGCCUUUGAAUGCUGGGACUGCUGGUGGACAAACUCAGCAUUUUGACUCUGUCCUUUCUCUGGCAGGGAGUCAACAAACGAUUUUUUCACGAAUGAAUGAAUGCAUGGACUGGGGAAGGAAUCUGAAACAAAUGCCAUCUACAAAUGGUGUAGAUAGUUUUUUUUUUUUUGUCCCUGAAAUAAACAGAGACUAUAUCUUGUUCUCAAAUCUUAGUCU